rnacentral:rRNA from 1 species
GAUGAACGCUAGCGGCAGGCUUAACACAUGCAAGUCGAGGGUAGAAGCAGCUUGCUGCUUUGAGACCGGCGCACGGGUGCGUAACGCGUAUGCAAUCUACCUUUUACAGAGGGGAUAGCCCAGAGAAAUUUGGAUUAAUACCUCAUAGUAUGUGAGAAUCGCAUGGUUUUCACAUUAAAGUUCCAACGGUAAAAGAUGAGCAUGCGUCCCAUUAGCUAGAUGGUAAGGUAACGGCUUACCAUGGCGACGAUGGGUAGGGGUCCUGAGAGGGAGAUCCCCCACACUGGUACUGAGACACGGACCAGACUCCUACGGGAGGCAGCAGUGGGGAAUUUUGGACAAUGGACGCAAGUCUGAUCCAGCCAUUCCG